AUUUUAUAGAUCCGAAUGAGGAGAAAAACGCAAAGACACUAUCCGCUGACCUGCUGGGUUUGGAAAUUGUGCUUGCAAAGAGCAUCGUCUUUAAUGUGCUCAUGAUUGCAAGAUUAGUCUUUGAGGUUCGCAAGAAGGAGCGAGGAAGGACCUGAGAAAUAAAGCAAAAUUUCUGUCAUCUUUGUUUCUAUUAAUUAUAUCCACUGCUUUUGAUACUGACAAUUAGUCUGCAUUUAUUGUUGCUGUGAAUAGAUUUUUAACAAGCUAAUUUUGCUUAAAGAAUUGUAAAGUUACAAUAGUGACUUUAGCAUUAAGACGGGAGGAGAGUUUCUAUUUUAAAGUUUAUUUUGUAUUCCCUCAAAACUUUCCCUGCCCCUUGGAAAAAAAUCCUCUCUUUAGGGCAAACCUCCCAUGUUUCUUAGGCUAGAAUAGGAUGUUUGCCAACUAAAUUAUACUGAUUGUACAAGAAUUUUUGGAAGAGUAGACUUUGAAAGAUGAUGGGCUUUUUAAAAAUGUCAUGUAACUUUUUUGAAUUCAUGUAUUUUCCUUGCCUAUUUUUAUAUGAUAGCAAUGUUUUGUGUUUUGGUGCAUGUUGCUUACACAAUAAAAAAAUGUUGCACAAUAA